UCAGCUCUAGGACAUAGCAAAUGGAGCAUG
rnacentral:piRNA from 1 species